rnacentral:lncRNA from 1 species
GGACGGUAGAGGCCUCCCUUCCGAGGCGGCGGCGCGGGCGCUGCCCGUUGGGGUCCGCUCCCCGGCGCGAACCCGCGCGUCCUUGCCGACGAGAUCCCCGCGCCACCCGGCGCAGUGCCACCUCCGAGACGGUCGCGCCCCCAGCCGCUCGCCUCGCCUUCCUGUCCCAGCAAGGUGUGUGCCGUUGUGUGGUGGCCACGGAGAGGAAAGAUCCCAAGGCCUAUCCCUGCAGGGGAUUCGACUUUGGCCAAAAAGAAUUGCCUGCUCCUGUCGGGGCACUGGCCGAUCUGGCCGGCCCCGCCCCGUCCGCGAGACCUCCAGGCACUUUCCCGCUCUUCCUCCACUCCAGCGAGGGAAGGAUCGAGGCCCUGGGCUCGCGCGCCGCGUCCCCUCCGUCCGGUGUGCUCAAAGUCGAGCUUCGCACGGUGCUCAGAGUCCUUCAGUCCUCGGUCACGGUGACACAUCAUGUCAGUCAUAGGGCACGGGUGCUUCCAUGCAGGCGACUUUGACAGCGAUCGUCAUACCAAGCCAUCAUGAAGUGUGAUGUCAGUACGUUCUGGAGGACGGCGAAUGUAUAAGCCAGUUCUUGCCAGGCUCUCUUACAAGGAAACGUCUGAGCCCUGCAGUAGGAGGCAUUUUAAUUCACACACCAAAAAUAUUUUGUGUUUGGUUGACAUUUCUCAAGAUGCUGAAAGAGGCAGUAGCAUUUAUCAUUUUGUAGGCAUUUAUCAGCACUCACAAAAGUCCCCGUAGGAAGGAGGAGGAUUUUGUCUUAUUCCUAUUAUGUCACAUAAAAUGAGGAACAGAGAUGUUAUGUGACCUACCAGAUAGUCCAUAGUAAGUCAGUGAGAGAGCCGUAUUUAUGAGAACAAGCAUCUUCUAAAACUGGAAUAAUUGAAAAAGUGAGGAAAC